rnacentral:rRNA from 1 species
UGAGUAAUAUAUCGGAACGUGCCCAGUCUGGGGGAUAACGUAGCGAAAGCUACGCUAAUACCGCAUACGAUCUAUGGAUGAAAGCGGGGGAUCGCAAGGCCUCGCGCGAUUGGAGCGGCCGAUAUCAGAUUAGGUAGUUGGUGAGGUAAAGGCUCACCAAGCCGACGAUCUGUAGCUGGUCUGAGAGGACGACCAGCCACACUGGGACUGAGACACGGCCCAGACUCCUACGGGAGGCAGCAGUGGGGAAUUUUGGACAAUGGGCGAAAGCCUGAUCCAGCAAUGCCGCGUGCAGGAAGAAGGCCUUCGGGUUGUAAACUGCUUUUGUACGGAACGAAAAGGCUCUUUCUAAUAAAGAGGGCCCAUGACGGUACCGUAAGAAUAAGCACCGGCUAACUACGUG